GACGAACGCUGGCGGCGUGCUUAACACAUGCAAGUCGAACGGAAAGGCCCUGCUUUUGUGGGGUGCUCGAGUGGCGAACGGGUGAGUAACACGUGAGUAACCUGCCUUUGACUUUGGGAUAACUUCAGGAAACUGGGGCUAAUACCGGAUAGGUGCUCCUGCUGCAUGGUGGGGGUUGGAAAGUUUCGGCGGUUGGGGAUGGACUCGCGGCUUAUCAGCUUGUUGGUGGGGUAGUGGCUUACCAAGGCUUUGACGGGUAGCCGGCCUGAGAGGGUGACCGGCCACAUUGGGACUGAGAUACGGCCCAGACUCCUACGGGAGGCAGCAGUGGGGAAUAUUGCACAAUGGGCGGAAGCCUGAUGCAGCACCGCCGCGUGCGGGAUGACGGCCUUCGGGUUGUAAACCGCUUUCGCCUGUGACGAAGCGUGAGUGACGGUAAUGGGUAAAGAAGCACCGGCUAACUACGUG
rnacentral:rRNA from 1 species